GGCAUAGAGAUCCUCUAUGGUGACUGGAGUUCAGACGUGUCUCCCUGUCUUUCCCUGCUUACAAUGGCAGAGAAGGAGGAACGCAAGACCCCUCCAAUGAAAUUGGUCGUCCCUCCCCCAUCUGCCCCCCUGCCCACCCCUCAAGAUCUCCCCACCGCCUCCAUUGUUAGAACCCCUGCCACCGCCCCCGCUGGGGCAUCGGCAGUGGGAGGCACCGGGGCAAUUACUACUGCUGCUUUGGUUCUUGCCCCAUUAGAUUCUAGGAACCCCCCCCCAAUUAGACGGAAAAAUCGAA